rnacentral:rRNA from 1 species
UAGGGAAUCUUCCACAAUGGGCGAAAGCCUGAUGGAGCAACGCCGCGUGAGUGAAGAAGGUUUUCGGAUCGUAAAACUCUGUUGUAAGGGAAGAACAAGUACAGUAGUAACUGGCUGUACCUUGACGGUACCUUAUUAGAAAGCCACGGCUAACUACGUGCCAGCAGCCGCGGUAAUACGUAGGUGGCAAGCGUUGUCCGGAAUUAUUGGGCGUAAAGCGCGCGCAGGCGGUCCUUUAAGUCUGAUGUGAAAGCCCACGGCUCAACCGUGGAGGGUCAUUGGAAACUGGAGGACUUGAGUGCAGAAGAGGAAAGUGGAAUUCCAAGUGUAGCGGUGAAAUGCGUAGAGAUUUGGAGGAACACCAGUGGCGAAGGCGACUUUCUGGUCUGUAACUGACGCUGAGGCGCGAAAGCGUGGGGAGCAAACA